rnacentral:rRNA from 1 species
CACGUAGGGCGCGAGCGUUGUCCGGAAUUAUUGGGCGUAAAGAGCUCGUAGGCGGCCUGUUGCGUCCGCUGUGAAAGCCCGGGGCUUAACCCCGGGUCGGCCGUGGCAACUGCUGGGCUGGAGCACAGUAGAGGCGGGUGGAAUUCCGGGUGUAGCGGUGGAAUGCGUAGAGAUCCGGAAGAACACCGGUGGCGAAGGCGGCCCGCUGGGCUGUUGCUGACGCUGAGGCGCGACAGCGUGGGGAGCAAACAGG